AUUGAACGCUGGCGGCAUGCCUUACACAUGCAAGUCGAACGGCAGCACGGGAGCAAUCCUGGUGGCGAGUGGCGAACGGGUGAGUAAUAUAUCGGAACGUGCCCAGUCGUGGGGAUAACGUAGCGAAAGCUACGCUAAUACCGCAUACGAUCUACGGAUGAAAGCGGGGGAUCGCAAGACCUCGCGCGAUUGGAGCGGCCGAUAUCAGAUUAGGUAGUUGGUGAGGUAAAGGCUCACCAAGCCGACGAUCUGUAGCUGGUCUGAGAGGACGACCAGCCACACUGGGACUGAGACACGGCCCAGACUCCUACGGGAGGCAGCAGUGGGGAAUUUUUGGACAAUGGGCGCAAGCCUGAUCCAGCAAUGCCGCGUGCAGGAUGAAGGCCUUCGGUUGUAAACUGCUUUGUUACGGUACGAAACGGUGAGCUCUAAUACAGUUGUCUAAUGACGGUACCGUAAGAAUAAGACACCGGCUAA
rnacentral:rRNA from 1 species